CCUACGGGAGGCAGCAGUGGGGAAUAUUGGACAAUGGGGGAAACCCUGAUCCAGCGACGCCGCGUGCGUGAAGACGUAUUUCGGUACGUUAAGCUCUAUCAGCAGGAAAGAAAAUGACGGUACCUGACUAAGAAGCCCCGGCUAACUACGGGCCAGCAGCCGCGGUAAUACGUAGGGGGCAAGCGUUAUCCGGAUUUACUGGGUGUAAAGGGAGCGUAGACGGGAUGGUAAGUCUGGUGUGAAAUGCCGGGGCCUAACCCCGGAACUGCUCUGGAUACUGUGAAGCUGGAGUGCAGGAGAGGUAGGCGGAAUUCCUGGUGUAGCGGUGAAAUGCGUAGAGAUCAGGCGGAACACCGACUGCGAAGGCGGCUUACUGGACUAUAACUGACGUUGAGGCUCGAAGGCGUGGGGAGCAAACAGGAUUAGAUACCCUUGUAGUC
rnacentral:rRNA from 1 species